rnacentral:rRNA from 1 species
ACUCCUACGGGUAGGCAGCAGUCGGGGAAUAUUUGCACAAUGGGCGCAAGCCUGAUGCAGCCAUGCCGCGGUGUAUGAAGAAGGCCUUCGGGUUGUAAAGUACUUUCAGCAGUGAGGAAGGUGGGUAUGUUAAUAGCAUAUUCCAUUUGACGUUAGCUGCAGAAGAAGCACCGGCUAACUCCGUGCCAGCAGCCGCGGUAAUACGGAGGGUGCGAGCGUUAAUCGGAAUUACUGGGCGUAAAGCGCAUGCAGGUGGUUUGUUAAGUCAGAUGUGAAAGCCGGGGCUCAACCUCGGAAUUGCAUUUGAAACUGGCAAACUAGAGUACUGUAGAGGGGGGUAGAAUUUCAGGUGUAGCGGUG